rnacentral:piRNA from 1 species
AUGGAUGAGAAAUGCGGAUAUGG